rnacentral:rRNA from 1 species
AGGAUGAACGCUAGCUACAGGCUUAACACAUGCAAGUCGAGGGGCAUCAGGAAGAAAGCUUGCUUUCUUUGCUGGCGACCGGCGCACGGGUGAGUAACACGUAUCCAACCUGCCCUUUACUCGGGGAUAGCCUUUCGAAAGAAAGAUUAAUACCCGAUAGCAUAAUGAUUCCGCAUGGUUUCAUUAUUAAAGGAUUCCGGUAAAGGAUGGGGAUGCGUUCCAUUAGGUUGUUGGUGAGGUAACGGCCCACCAAGCCUUCGAUGGAUAGGGGUUCUGAGAGGAAGGUCCCCCACAUUGGAACUGAGACACGGUCCAAACUCCUACGGGAGGCAGCAGUGAGGAAUAUUGGUCAAUGGGCGUUAGCCUGAACCAGCCAAGUAGCGUGAAGGAUGAAGGCUCUAUGGGUCGUAAACUUCUUUUAUAUAAGAAUAAAGUGCAGUAUGUAUACUGUUUUGUAUGUAUUAUAUGAAUAAGGAUCGGCUAACUCCGUGCCAGCAGCCGCGGUAAUACGGAGGAUCCGAGCGUUAUCCGGAUUUAUUGGGUUUAAAGGGAGCGUAGGUGGACUGGUAAGUCAGUUGUGAAAGUUUGCGGCUCAACCGUAAAAUUGCAGUUGAUACUGUCAGU